CGCCUCUUGCAAAAACAAAGCAUAAGAGGUCCCGCCUGCCCUGUGACUAUAUGUUUAACGGCCGCGGUAUUUUGACCGUGCAAAGGUAGCGCAAUCACUUGUCUUUUAAAUGAAGACCCGUAUGAAUGGCAUAACGAGGGCUUAACUGUCUCCUUUUUCCAGUCAAUGAAAUUGAUCUCCCCGUGCAGAAGCGGGGAUAAACACAUAAGACGAGAAGACCCUGUGGAGCUUUAGACACAAGGCAGACCAUACAGAGCAGCUUAAAACAAAAAGCUAAACCCAUAUGAACCCACUGCCCAGCAUGUCUUUGGUUGGGGCGACCGCGGGGAAAAACAAAACCCCCAUGUGGAAUGAGAGCACCCCUCUUACAACUAAGAGCCACCCCUCUAAGAAACAGCACAGCUGACCAAAAAUGAUCCGACACAGUCGAUCAACGGACCGAGUUACCCCAGGGAUAACAGCGCAAUCCUCUCCCAGAGCCCAUAUCGACGAGGGGGUUUACGACCUCGAUGUUGGAUCAGGACAUCCUAAUGGUGCAGCCGCUAUUAAGGGUUCGUUUGUUCAACGAUUAAAGUCCU
rnacentral:rRNA from 1 species